rnacentral:rRNA from 1 species
UACGAAGGGGGCUAGCGUUGUUCGGAAUUACUGGGCGUAAAGCGCACGUAGGCGGCCUAUCAAGUCGGGUGUGAAAGCCUGGGGCUCAACCCCAGAAGUGCAUUCGAAACUGGUAGGCUUGAGUGUCGGAGAGGGUGGUGGAAUUCCGAGUGUAGAGGUGAAAUUCGUAGAUAUUCGGAGGAACACCAGUGGCGAAGGCGACCACCUGGACGAACACUGACGCUGAGGUGCGAAAGCGUGGGGAGCAAACAGG